UCAGAAACGCUGUACAUAUGUAUGUAUUAAAAAAAUAUGUAAGUAUGUAUGCACAUAUACAUAUAGAAGUGUAUUUACUAUAAACCGUUGGCUUGUUAUUCAAAACUUUCACGUUUUACGCAGUAUUUUGCACUAGCAUUUGUUUCACACUGUACAACUUUUCACCUUUUUAAUUUAUUUUUUCUUCAGUACAUGGGCAUUGUAUUGUAUGUAUGUAUUGGAGUAGUUUUUCACAAUCUAUUUAUUUGCCUCAGCCUAUAAACAAUGCUACGCGGUAAGCAGAUGUAGAUUUAAUACUUUUACACUAUUCAAUUGAAAUUCACUUUUUAACAAUUUUCCUCCCAGUGAAUUUCUACAGAUAUUCACAAAAAUUUGGCGAGGAAACGUUUUCGUACGUCUUAACGCCGCCGCAAACAUUUUCGAUUAAACGACGGCCAGUGUGAGCAAAGAAACAAAAGAGCGCGAAAUGCGGAGAGAGCAAACCAACCAACCAAGCAGCCAGUCAGCGAGCCAGGCAGCGAACAGACGGAGAGAGCGUAAGAAACAAAAACGGGUGGAUGAGACGGAGAGUAAAUGCGCGCGCACAGUGUUGCUUUGGAAUUCUUCAUUUUCAUUUUAGUAGCUGUUGUUGCUAUAUUACUGCAGUGGCAACGGGCUACGACUACUAGCAGCAUAUCAAACAGGGAGGCAACGCAGCAGAGCAACAUCGCGAGCCUCUUCGAGCAUAAAAAGAAAAAAGUAAAAUGGGGAAAAUGCUACUUUGAGUAUUAAAGUAAAUACAUGGUGGCUAUGUAUAUAAUAUGUCGCACAUAUAAUCUACGCUCAGCACACAAAUGUAUUCACGGCGUGUAACAAGUCUUGUUGCCGUGCGUUCAAAUGGCAAUCUGUGUGGCAGAAAACAUUUCGUGGUAGCGACCGAGCGAAUGGAUGUGUGCGGAGCACAGCACGCUGUAUUCAUUCGAAAAAUCACUCCAAACUUCUUUGACCAGAAUGGUUCGACGUUGGAGUAGAGAGGAAGCAUAAUUCGAACAGAAUAUAGACAGCUAGGCAAGAUCACGAGUUAAAUUGUCAUUUUUCGUUGAAGCUUCACGUUUUCGAUGUGUAAUCUAAAACAAUUACGAAAAAUCAAGCAAAGUGCAAAAAUGGCUCAUAAACCUGAAUACGCAAAGCUUACGUAAGUGCAAAAGGCACGACAGUUACAUGCGGUGUGACAGAGUCAGCAUGACUCUCUAAUGAACGGCAACAGGGUGUUUUUAUCGUUCGUCAUGAGGCGCAUAUAGUGUAGCGACACCCUGUCGUGAGAGCGCACUUUUGGUGAGAGAUGAGAACACCCACACUGAGAAAACGGCAUACAAAGAUAGAGGCCACUCGCUCACGAGUUCGGCGGAGCAAUAGCGAUGAUAUUGCAGUACAUAAUGAAAUCGACAAAACUGAAAAUCAGAAACCAAACAGACGAGUAGCUGGCUACAACACUGCCACGGUUACAGUUUGCGGCGGUGGCGACGAUGACGACGCGGCAUACACCUUGCCUCACCUCACUAUCCACUUGGCUCACGCAUACAAACACACGCACGCACACACAUGCAUGCAGUUAUGUACAUAUGUAUGUGUAUAUUCUUUGCAAGUGGUGGUGAAAUUGUAGUUUUUGCUGCUGUCAAAACGGAAACGAGAAGAAGCACAAAUACAGAGACACCACAGCGGGCAUAGAAAGCAACCAGACAAUUCGAGCACAAGGUAAAAAAGGAGAAAAAAGUGGAUGCAAGUUGCGGCGAUGCCAACGCCGUCGUCUCACCAUACAAUGGUGUGUAUGCAUAUCGUACAUACAUACGUUUAAUGGUCAGCAGGGAGAGCAUUGGUGCUGCCGCUCUCUUCCCAUCUCUUUUUCUCUGCAAUGGUCAAACACAUGUUGGAAUUUGAUCGGCCGCGAGAAAAGAGCAACUCAAUAACUUAGCGGCUGCGAAGCGUCAAUAAAAAUCUGUAUACUUGCGAAUUGUGCGCUCAUCGUUGUCGUCGACGUCGUCGCCGUCGUCAUGGUGGUGGUGGUGGAAAUGGAAACCUUGCAAUUAUCGAUUUCUUUUUCAUGCGUUCGCUUCUGCUGCAUUGCGCAGCGGGGGCGGCGAGAGAGCAACUUAAAAGUGGAGAGAGCACUCGACAGAAUGAGAGUGAGCGCCACUGUCACCUGCUAGCUGCACAACAAAUGCAACUGCAACUGCAAUUGCGUUAGUCAAUGCAAAUCGAGUGAACGAAUUUUUAGACACACAUAUGACGCGCUGCCAAAGUUCAAAGUUCACGAGCAGGCGCCUUGUGCAGCAGCAGCAGCAGCAGCAGUAGAAGCAGUUGCAAACGCCUACAAGAGCAGCGCGUAGCAGAGCCUUAGCGUGCACCUACAAGAAAGACAAGUGCAAAAGGGACAACCACACAUGUGUGCGUGCAUUUGAAUUGUGUCUAUGUGUGCAUGUGUGUGUGAGCGUGCUGCACUCUUAAUAUAUGCAGUCCAGUGUACACACACAGGCACAGAAGUUUGUUUGCCUUUUUCCAGGUACUUCCGCUGCUUGUUUACGUAUAUGCUCUCGGAUGUUAUUUGCUAUUGCGCAACAAUCAUAUUACAAAAAUAUAUAUAUUUAUAUAUGUAUAUAUCGAGCAUACACAACAAAUGUGCAGAAAAGCAGCAAAAGAAUCGUCAACAUAAUGCAAAUUGCGAUUCGUGAAGAACAAUAGCAACUGUAAUUUUAUGCCGUGUUGCAAAUUUGCCAUCGUCUCUUGUCAAUUUGUAUUUAAAUGUAACAAGAAUUAUUCACGGUAUCAGAUAAUAGAGUUUACAAUUACGUGCAAAAUCAGCAAAAAUGUGCGAAACCCAAAUUCAUAUUGCAUAAA